rnacentral:lncRNA from 1 species
CAGAGGCAUCUUCUUAUCUGGAGGGAAUCAACUUGGUUUGGAAAAAGCAUCCAAAAAGCAGAAACGAAUAAAGGAAACCCCAUAAAGGAACGGUAAUCGGAUUUAGAAAAUAGAAUUGCUAUAAAGCACAAGCAUAAAAGGCAGACGUGGAUGUAGUUGUAUUGGUCCAACUCUAAAUCAAGAUGAAGUUUUUGUUUCAGCUGCCUUGUUGCUCUUGCUUCUGUUUCGUCAAGCCAAAGAAGGGGAAACACAAGGAGGGGGAGAUAAAGAAAGAGUAACGAGAAGCACCUUCAAAGAGAGAAUGAAUCCUUUUUUAUGGUGUCAAUUUGAUGUUACUUAUGUAUCAAUCGAUGAUUAUCUUUGUCAAAAGAAGGCAAGAUCAUUAAGUUAAUUAUGAUGUUGCAUCCUCUUUUUACAUUUACCAAUUUGAUUAGAUUCCCUCGAUAUGAUUUCUACCCAAUCUUUAUUUUCCUUCUUAAACGUACUCUAAAUUAACUCGUUACUAUGGGCUAUGAAAAUGGUUAUAGAGUUUUGUUUCUCAUUAAACAAUUUUAAAGCUGAUUGCUUUCAACUAAUUAAGAAGAACGAUAAGAGAUAGCAUGUUCCAGUUACCAAUCUCUUUACUUACCUUUAGGUCCGUUUAUCAAAAUAGCCUAAGCUUGUGUGCCAGUUUCAAC